rnacentral:rRNA from 1 species
GGCGUAAAGGGCAUGUAGGCGGUUUGGUAAGUUAWAGGUGAAAUACCAGGRCUUAACYCUGGRGCUGCUUUUAAUACUGCWSGCCUWGAGUUAAAAGAKGAUAGCGAGUUCCUAGUGUAGAGGUGACUUCGAAGAUAUUAGGAGGWCACCAGUSGCGAAGGGGCUGUCUGGUCCGGUACUGACGCUGAGGUGCGAAAGSUGGGGAGCAAACAGGAUUAGAUACCCUGGUAGUCCACGCUGUACGUGAGUKCUCUUUUUU